CGCGACGAGUUUGACUCCGUGGCGUACAGGACGAACGCUGGCGGCGCGCCUAACACAUGCAAGUCGAACGGAGCUACGUUUUCUGAAGUUUUCGGAUGGACGAAGAUUUAGCUUAGUGGCGAACGGGUGAGUAACGCGUGGGUAACCUGCCUUUUAGAGGGGGACAACAGUUGGAAACGACUGCUAAUACCGCAUAAGCGCACAGUACCGCAUGGUACCGUGUGAAAAACUCCGGUGGUAUGAGAUGGACCCGCGUCUGAUUAGCUAGUUGGUAAGGUAACGGCUUACCAAGGCGACGAUCGGUAGCCGGACUGAGAGGUUGAACGGCCACAUUGGGACUGAGACACGGCCCAGACUCCUACGGGAGGCAGCAGUGGGGGAUAUUGCACAAUGGAGGAAACUCUGAUGCAGCAACGCCGCGUGAGGGAAGAAGGUUUUCGGAUUGUAAACCUCUGUUUUUAGUGAAGAAACAAAUGACGGUAGCUAAAGAGGAAGCCACGGCUAACUACGUG
rnacentral:rRNA from 1 species